AUGUUAUACCUACAUCAUAGAGUUAAUGCACCGGAUCCCAUUAGAACUCCACAAUUAAGCACACUCAAGCUACAGUAGUAUUCAGAUGGGUGACCACCUAGAAAGUCCUAGUGUUUUACAUG
rnacentral:rRNA from 1 species